AGCUACAUCCGUCACCUGACACGGCCCUACCAGGAACAGCCGCGCUCCCGCGGAUUCUGGUGCUGCUCGCGUCCCCGCUCCCCUAUUCCCCUUAUUUUAUUCCUGGCUCCCCUCGUCGAAAGUCUUCCAUUCUUCAAACUAGAUUAUUUAAAAAUGAAAAAGGAAGAAAGGAAAGCGAGGUCAUCUCAUUGCUCUAUCCGCCAAUCAGGAGGCUGAAUGUCAGUUUUGAACUAAAAGCCGCUCCGCUCCUCUUCUAGAUUUGGAAAACAAGCGAAAUUAAACUAAACCGCUGCACGCCUCUGACGCGACAUCUGGACACGGCGCGGCGCUGGCGCUGCCGGAGCUGUCGACCCGGCCUGGCGCCGGACUAGUGUCCCUUUUGAUGAGAAGAAUAAGCCUCAUUCUGAUUCAACAGCAGAGAUCAAAGAAAAGACUUCUGUUUUCUGGCCACCAGAUAUAUGUUAUCUGUGCUUAAAGAAUUGAAAAACACACAUCAAAGGAGAAUUUUCUUGGAAAGAGAGGGUUCAAGCAUCACUGUUAGGUGUGCUGGAAUCCUUUCCCGAGUCAGUACUGCUUUCUAGAAGAAAACCGGGGAGAUCUAUUUGGAAUGUAUCUAACUCCAAAGAAACCAUCAGAGGUAACAGAUGAUUACGGAGCUAGGAAUUUCCUACGAAGCUGGGUGAUAAAAGGACAUUGGACAAAAACACAGAUAGCUUCAUUCUAUACCAGGAUCCAUCACUGAUUAGCUGUAUUAUAUUUGUCUCUACUGUAAUUUGAGGAGAAUGAUACCUGCUUCUCUAUCUUGUUGGGUUUUACAGAUGAUGUAUUGAAAGUUCAAUAAAAUCUAUAAACAAU
rnacentral:antisense_RNA from 1 species